rnacentral:rRNA from 1 species
CGGUUGAUCCCGCCGGACCUGACUGCUAUCGGAUUGAUACUAAGCCAUGCGAGUCAUUGUAGCAAUACAAGGCAGACGGCUCAGUAACGCGUAGUCAACCUAACCUAUGGACGGGAAUAACCUCGGGAAACUGAGAAUAAUGCCCGAUAGAACACUAUAUCUGGAAUGGUUUGUGUUCCAAAUGAUUUAUCGCCGUAGGAUGGGACUGCGGCCUAUCAGUUUGUUGGUGAGGUAAUGGCCCACCAAGACUAUUACAGGUACGGGCUCUGAGAGGAGUAGCCCGGAGAUGGGUACUGAGACACGGACCCAGGCCCUAUGGGGCGCAGCAGGCGAGAAAACUUUGCAAUGUGCGAAAGCACGACAAGGUUAAUCCGAGUGGUUUGUGCUAAACGAAUCUUUUGUCGGUCCUAGAAACACCGAUGAAUAAGGGGUGGGCAAGUUCUGGUGUCAGCCGCCGCGGUAAAACCAGCACCUCAAGUGGUCAGGAUGAUUAUUGGGCCUAAAGCAUCCGUAGCCGGCGCUGUAAGUUUUCGGUUAAAUCUGUACGCUCAACGUACAGGCUGCCGGGAAUACUGCAGCGCUAGGGAGUGGGAGAGGUAGACGGUACUCGGUAGGAAGGGGUAAAAUCCUUUGAUCUAUUGAUGACCACCUGUGGCGAAGGCGGUCUACCAGAACACGUCCGACGGUGAGGGAUGAAAGCUGGGGGAGCAAACCGGAUUAGAUACCCGGGUAGUCCCAGCUGUAAACUAUGCAAACUCAGUGACGCAUUGGCUUGUGGCCAAUGCAGUGCUGCAGGGAAGCCGUUAAGUUUGCCGCCUGGGAAGUACGUACGCAAGUAUGAAACUUAAAGGAAUUGGCGGGGGAGCACCACAAGGGGUGAAGCCUGCGGUUCAAUUGGAGUCAACGCCGGAAAU